rnacentral:rRNA from 1 species
AGUGAACGCUGGCGGGAGGCCUAACACAUGCAAGUCGAACGGCAGCACAGUAAGAGCUUGCUCUUACGGGUGGCGAGUGGCGGACGGGUGAGGAAUACAUCGGAAUCUACUUUUUCGUGGGGGAUAACGUAGGGAAACUUACGCUAAUACCGCAUACGACCUACGGGUGAAAUCAGGGGAUCUUCGGACCUUUCGCGAUUGAAUGAGCCGAUGUCGGAUUAGCUAGUUGGCAAGGUAACGGCCCACCAAGGCGACGAUCCGUAGCUGGUCUGAGAGGAUGAUAGGCCACACUGGAACUGAGACACGGUCCAGACUCCUACGGGAGGCAGCAGUAGGGAAUGUUCCGCAAUGGGCGAAAGCCUGACGGAGCAACGCCGCGUGAGUGAUGAAGGUCUUCGGAUCGUAAAACUCUGUUAGUAGGGAAGAACAUAUGUGUAAGUAACUGUGCACAUCUUGACGGUACCUAAUCAGAAAGCCACGGCUAACUACGUG